rnacentral:rRNA from 1 species
UACGAAGGGGGCGAGCGUUGUUCGGAUUUACUGGGCGUAAAGGGCGCGCAGGCGGCUAUCCAAGUCAGGCGUGAAAGCCCCGGGCUUAACCUGGGAGGUGCGUCUGGGACUGGGUGGCUAGAGAUCGGGAGAGGAGAGUGGAAUUCCCAGUGUAGAGGUGAAAUUCGUAGAUAUCAGGAGGAACACCGGUGGCGAAGGCGGGUCUCUGGGCAACAACUGACGCUGAGGAGCGAAAGCGUGGGGAGCGAACAGG